UCUGUUUUUCUGCUGUUUGUCAAAGCUUCAGUGAAAAAUUAAUGCUUAUUAAAUAAAUAUUUUUAUCAUUCAGAGAAAGUUGGAGUUACUCUGAACCCGAAAAGAUGAAUCAUUCAGACAGCUGCACUGAGGGCGAAGAUGAUGUUUUCGAAUCUCAACACGAACAGUCGAAAAGGUCAGAGGUCACCACCAAGGCAGCGGCAGGGGUGAUUCUCUGUGUUGUCCUGGCGACUGCCAUCUUUUUGAUUUUCUACUUCUCUUGAUUGACUGGAACAACAAAGAGGGGAACAUCCUGUCAGGGUGGAGGUCAAAGGUGGAGCUCCUGACCUGAAGAAACAGCCUAACUGGACCGUUUGUCUGUGUCUGACAUUCA